rnacentral:rRNA from 1 species
GAUGAACGCUAGCUACAGGCUUAACACAUGCAAGUCGAGGGGAAACGGCAUCGAAAGCUUGCUUUUGAUGGGCGUCGACCGGCGCACGGGUGAGUAACGCGUAUCCAACCUGCCCAUCACUUGGGAAUAACCUUGCGAAAGUAAGACUAAUGCCCAAUGACAUCCCACGAAGGCAUCCGAAUGGGAUUAAAGAUUUAUCGGUGAUGGAUGGGGAUGCGUCUGAUUAGCUUGUUGGCGGGGUGACGGCCCACCAAGGCAACGAUCAGUAGGGGUUCUGAGAGGAAGGUCCCCCACAUUGGAACUGAGACACGGUCCAAACUCCUACGGGAGGCAGCGGUGAGGAAUAUUGGUCAAUGGGCGAGAGCCUGAACCAGCCAAGUAGCGUGCAGGAUGACGGCCCUAUGGGUUGUAAACUGCUUUUAUAAGGGAAUAAAGUGGGUCACGUGUGACUUUUUGCAUGUACCUUAUGAAUAAGGACCGGCUAAUUCCGUG